rnacentral:rRNA from 1 species
GACGAACGCUGGCGGCGUGCCUAAUACACGCAAGUUGAGCGAUGAAGAUUGGUGCUUGCACCAAUUUGAAGAGCAGCGAGCGGGUGAGUAACGCGUGGGGAAUCUGCCUUUGAGCGGGGGACAACAUUUGGAAACGAAUGCUAAUACCGCAUAACAACUUUAAACAUAAGUUUUAAGUUUGAAAGAUGCAAUUGCAUCACUCAAAGAUGAUCCCGCGUUGUAUUAGCUAGUUGGUGAGGUAAAGGCUCACCAAGGCGAUGAUACAUAGCCGACCUGAGAGGGUGAUCGGCCACAUUGGGACUGAGACACGGCCCAAACUCCUACGGGAGGCAGCAGUAGGGAAUCUUCGGCAAUGGACGAAAGUCUGACCGAGCAACGCCGCGUGAGUGAAGAAGGUUUUCGGAUCGUAAAACUCUGUUGGUAGAGAAGAACGUUGGUGAGAGUGGAAAGCUCAUCAAGUGACGGUAACUACCCAGAAAGGGACGGCUAACUACGUG